rnacentral:rRNA from 1 species
UCGAGCGGUAGAGAGGUGCUUGCACCUCUUGAGAGCGGCGGACGGGUGACUUUAGGUAGGAAUCUGCCUGGUAGUGGGGGAUAACGUUCGGAUUUGGACGCUAAUACCGCAUACGUCCUACGGGAGAAAGCAGGGGACCUUCGGGCCUUGCGCUAUCAGAUGAGCCUAGGUCGGAUUAGCUAGUUGGUGAGGUAAUGGCUCACCAAGGCUACGAUCCGUAACUGGUCUGAGAGGAUGAUCAGUCACACUGGAACUGAGACACGGUCCAGACUCCUACGGGAGGCAGCAGUGGGGAAUAUUGGACAAUGGGCGAAAGCCUGAUCCAGCCAUGCCGCGUGUGUGAAGAAGGUCUUCGGAUUGUAAAGCACUUUAAGUUGGGAGGAAGGGCAUUAACCUAAUACGUUAGUGCUUUGACGUUACCGACAGAAUAAGCACCGGCUAACUCUGUGCCAGCAGCCGCGGUAAUACAGAGGGUGCAAGCGUUAAUCGGAAUUACUGGGCGUAAAGCGCGCGUAGGUGGUUUGUUAAGUUGAAUGUGAAAUCCCCGGGCUCAACCUGGGAACUGCAUCCAAAACUGGCAAGCUAGAGUAUGGUAGAGGGUAGUGGAAUUUCCUGUGUAGCGGUGAAAUGCGUAGAUAUAGGAAGGAACACCAGUGGCGAAGGCGACUACCUGGACUGAUACUGACACUGAGGUGCG